rnacentral:rRNA from 1 species
GACGAACGCUGGCGGCGUGCCUAAUACAUGCAAGUCGAGCGGAUGACGGAGGAGCUUGCUCCUCCUGAUUCAGCGGCGGACGGGUGAGUAACACGUGGGCAACCUGCCCUGUAGAUUGGGAUAACUCCGGGAAACCGGGGCUAAUACCGAAUAAUCCUUCGGACCUCAUGGUCCGAUGUUGAAAGACGGCAUCUCGCUGUCACUACAGGAUGGGCCCGCGGCGCAUUAGCUAGUUGGUGAGGUAACGGCUCACCAAGGCCACGAUGCGUAGCCGACCUGAGAGGGUGAUCGGCCACACUGGGACUGAGACACGGCCCAGACUCCUACGGGAGGCAGCAGUAGGGAAUCUUCCACAAUGGACGAAAGUCUGAUGGAGCAACGCCGCGUGAGUGAAGAAGGUUCUCGGAUCGUAAAACUCUGUUGUGAGGGAAGAACAAGUACCGGAGUAACUGCCGGUGCCUUGACGGUACCUCAUUAGAAAGCCACGGCUAACUGCGUGCCAGCCGCCGCGGUAA